GACGGGGGAUGCAAGUGUUAUCCGGAAUCACUGGGCGUAAAGCGUCUGCAGGUGGUUUCCUAAGUCUACUGUUAAACCUUGAGGCUCAACCUCAAAUCUGCAGUGGAAACUAGGAGACUGGAGUAUAGUAGGGGUAGAGGGAAUUUCCAGUGGAGCGGUGAAAUGCGUAGAUAUUGGAAAGAACACCGAUGGCGAAGGCACUCUACUGGGCUAUUACUGACACUCAGAGACGAAAGCUAGGGGAGCAAAUGGG
rnacentral:rRNA from 1 species